AGGGUUUGAUCAUGGCUCAGAUAGAACGCUGGCGGUAUGCUUAACACAUGCAAGUCGAACGGAAACGAUACUAGCUUGCUAGUAGGCGUCGAGUGGCGGACGGGUGAGUAACGCGUAGGAAUCUGCCUGAUAGUGGGGGAUAGCCCGGAGAAAUUCGGAUUAAUACCGCAUAAUCUAUUCGUAGUAAAGUGGGGGACUUUCGAGCCUCACGCUAUCAGAUGAGCCUGCGUAAGAUUAGCUUGUUGGUAGGGUAAAAGCCUACCAAGGCGACGAUCUUUAGCUGGUCUGAGAGGAUGAUCAGCCACAUCGGGACUGAGACACGGCCCGAACUCCUACGGGAGGCAGCAGUGGGGAAUAUUGGACAAUGGGGGCAACCCUGAUCCAGCAAUACCGCGUGUGUGAAGAAGGCCUGAGGGUUGUAAAGCACUUUCAAUUGUGAAGAAAAGUUAACGGUUAAUACCCGUUAACCUUGACGUUAACUUUAGAAGAAGCACCGGCUAACUCCGUGCCAGCAGCCGCGGUAAUACGGAGGGUGCAAGCGUUAAUCGGAAUUACUGGGCGUAAAGCGUGCGUAGGCGGUUUAUUAAGUCAGAUGUGAAAGCCCCGGGCUUAACCUGGGAACUGCAUUUGAAACUGGUAAACUAGAGUAUGGUAGAGGAAAGUGGAAUUUCUGGUGUAGCGGUGAAAUGCGUAGAUAUCAGAAGGAACAUCAAUGGCGAAGGCAGCUUUCUGGACCAAUACUGACGCUGAGGUACGAAAGCGUGGGUAGCA
rnacentral:rRNA from 1 species